ensembl:lncRNA
ACUGGUUCACACAGUUCGUUCCUUGGGUGCUCACUCGCUUUCUCUUUCUCCACAGGCAACGGCUGGGACACAAAAGCACAGUUAAUUCGGCUUGGUUUUGCUCUCACCUCUUCGCUGAUUGCAGCUCACAGUAAGUACUGGUUCACACAGUUCGUUCCUUGGGUGCUCACUCGCUUUCUCUUUCUCCACAGGUAGCGGCGUAAGUACAGUUUUCCUCGGUCUCUCCUCGUGUUACCCACUCUCUCUCCUUUUCUCUCCACAGGUAUCAACUUGGGCACAAUAGCACAGUUAGUUUGCUUUGAAUGGCUCUCACCUCUGGGCUGGACACAGCGUACUGUAAGUACAGGUUCCCUCUGGUUCUCCUUGUGUUACUCACUCUCUCUUUCCUUUCCUCUCCACAGGUAUCAACUUGGACACAAAGCACAGUUACUCUGCUUUGGAUGGCUUUCACCUCUGGGCUGGACACAGCGUACCAUGCUAUCUCCGGAGAUCUGAAGCACGCUCACAACAUAUACUGUACUGAACUAGGCUAGGACCAGCAGUCUCCUUGUCCUCCCGCGACGAAGUGCGUGAAGGCGGGGGUUUAUCUGACAGGACACACGGCAAUACACAGCAGCCCACAGCAAUAUACAACACCACGUCAAAAUUAUAGGUUUUCACAGCACGAAGACUCACCCACCACACUCAGUGUACGAAAAGGACACCCGUCUUCCUUCACUUCGCUUGGUUCGGAUCUGGCGAUGGAAUAUGCGGCCUAGCUAGUGAUGUCGUCGUUGUGACUACUUCAAUAAGUAUUCCUUCGGCUCUCCCACCACGCUAUAUUAGGGGUAGGGCCGCCCUCCUCCUCCUGGAGAGAUCUACACAACGCCAGGUCAAUAUACAGGGCACUUUCGACUGGCUCUUAGUACUCACAUCAAUGCCG